GACGAACGCUGGCGGCGUGCUUAACACAUGCAAGUCGAACGGAAAGGCCCUGCUUUUGUGUGGUUCUCGAGUGGCGAACGGGUGUGUUACACGUUAGUAACCUUCCCUUUACUUUGGGAUAACUUCAGGAAACUGGUGCUAAUACCUGCUAGGAGCUCCUGCUGCAUGGUGGGGGUUGGAAAGUUUCGGCGGUUGGGGAUGGACUCGCGGCUUAUCGGCUUGUUGGUUGGGUAGUGGCUUACCAAGCCUUUGACGGCUAGCCGGCCUGAGAGGGUGAACGGCGACAAUGGGACUGAGAUACGGCCCAGACUCCUACGGGAGGCAGCAGGGGGGAAUAUUGCACAGUGGGCGGAAGCCUGAUGCAGAAACGUCGCGAGCGGGAUGAAGGCCUUCGGGUUGUAAACCGCUUUAGCCUGUGACGAAGCGUGAGUGACGGUAAUGGGUAAAGAAGCACCGGCUAACUACGUG
rnacentral:rRNA from 1 species